GAAGGAAUAUCGGAGACGGAUGGGCAUGCGGCGCAUUAGCUAGUUGGCGGGGUAACGGCCCACCAAGGCGACGAUGCGUAGGGGUUCUGAGAGGAAGGUCCCCCACACUGGUACUGAGACACGGACCAGACUCCUACGGGAGGCAGCAGUGAGGAAUAUUGGUCAAUGGGCGAGAGCCUGAACCAGCCAAGUCGCGUGAGGGAGUACUGCCCUAUGGGUUGUAAACCUCUUUUGUCGGGGAGCAAAAGCCGGACGUGUCCGUCUGUGAGAGUACCCGAAGAAAAAGCAUCGGCUAACUCCGUGCCAGCAGCCGCGGUAAUACGGAGGAUGCGAGCGUUAUCCGGAUUUAUUGGGUUUAAAGGGUGCGCAGGCGGAUUUUUAAGUCAGCGGUCAAAUCGUGGGGCUCAACCCCAUCCAGCCGUUGAAACUGGGGAUCUAGAGUGUGCGAGAGGUAUGCGGAAUGCGUGGUGUAGCGGUGAAAUGCAUAGAUAUCACGCAGAACCCCGAUUGCGAAGGCAGCAUACCGGUGCACAACUGACGCUCAGGCACGAAAGCGUGGGUAUCGAACAGGAUUAGAUACCCUGGUAGUCCACGCAGUAAACGAUGAAUGCUACCUGUUUGGCCAGAUUGAAGGCUGA
rnacentral:rRNA from 1 species